rnacentral:lncRNA from 1 species
AGACGUUCCCUUUAAGAAAGGCAGAAUUAAUUGGCUGUGGAAGAGAAACCUAUAUUCAGCUGCAGCAGUGCCCUUGCAGAGAAGUGAUUUUCAAUGGGCUCACUUAACACUAUUUUAAUUGUUUUAAAAUGUUUCUAUGGGCUUUUGGAGGUCAGAAGCUGCUAAGUACUGAAGUCUUCCCCAGGGCUGUAGUCUGCGGGUUGGACAAAGGAAACCUGGAGAUUGUGAAAGGGAGCCUGGGAUGAACAGAAAUGAGGUGAGCAGUGGGUGGUCCCAGAACUGAAUGGCUACGAGUUCAAGUCCCUCUCUGCAUAAGAUGGGGUGAUCAGUUAAUGUCUCUUUCAAACACAGGGACUUCUGGAAGCUCAUCUAGGACUAUGACUGGACACUCCUGAAAAGUUAUGUCUAUAGAGACCGAUGGACCAGUGAUUAGAAUUUCAGUACAGUAGGGAGACUGGAAUGUUUCUGGGCCAGAGGCUAACUACCUUCUGUUGGGCUAGUUCUAGCCCUCUGGAGCAGUCAUUCCUUGCUGAUCUCUGCAAGGCCUUUAACAUAAUAGAUUAAAAACCUUUGCAGACUCACAGUCUUCGGUCAGUCCCAAAGCUAAGAAUGUCAUCCGAUAGCAUCUUGGGUGUAUAGAAAAGUCUCCCCCAUCUUGCUGUAACCACCUCUCUGAUGUAACCACCAAUAUAGUUUAAACUUGCCUUGACUUAUGUCUUUCUUUGUUCUGCAAAACUAGGAAGACUUCAUGAAACGGCUUCUACAUUGGAACAUGAGAUUUGGGGUAGUCUACAUCUGUUCAUGGGCAUGAUCAUUUCAAAUGGCUCCAAAAUAAACUGUCUUUUAUUCCCUUUAA